rnacentral:rRNA from 1 species
GAUUAACGCUGGCGGCAUGCCUAAUACAUGCAAGUCGAACGGAAGCAGCAAUGCUUUAGUGGCGAACGGGUGAGUAACACGUAGGGAACCUACCUAUACGACGAGGAUAACUACUGGAAACGGUAGCUAAAACUGGAUAGGAUCAAUUGAGGCAUCUUGAUUGAUUUAAAGAUCCUUCGGGAUUACGUAGAGAUGGCCCUGCGGCGCAUUAGCUAGUUGGUGAGGUAACGGCCCACCAAGGCGACGAUGCGUAGCUGAGCUGAGAGGCUAAACAGCCACACUGGGACUGAGACACGGCCCAGACUCCUACGGGAGGCAGCAGUGGGGAAUAUUGGACAAUGGGCGCAAGCCUGAUCCAGCCAUGCCGCGUGAGUGAUGAAGGCCUUAGGGUUGUAAAGCUCUUUCGCCGGUGAAGAUAAUGACGGUACCAUAGGAGGAAGCCCCGGCUAACUACGUGCCAGCAGCCGCGGUAAGUCACUAUCGA